AGCAGCCGCGGUAAUUCCAGCUCCAAUAGCGUAUAUUAAAGUUGUUGCAGUUAAAAAGCUCGUAGUUGAAUUUCGGGGUCAGUAGGUUGGUCGUGCCACUGGUAUGUACUGGCCUUACUGAUUCCUCCUUCCUGAUGAACCGUAAUGCCAUUAAUUUGGUGUUGCGGGGAAUCUGGACUGUUACUUUGAAAAAAUUGAGUGUUUAAAGCAGGCUAACGCUUGAAUACAUUAGCAUGGAAUAAUGGAAUAGGACGUUCGAUCCUAUUUUGUUGGUUUCUAGGAUUGACGUAAUGAUUAAUAGGGAUAGUUGGGGGCAUUAGUAUUCAAUUGUCAGAGGUGAAAUUCUUGGAUUUAUUGAAGACUAACUACUGCGAAAAGCAUUUGCCAAGGAUGUUUUCAUUAAUCAAGAACGAAAGUUAGGGAUCGAAGACGAUCAGAUACCGUCGUAGUCUUAACCAUAAACUAUAGCCGACUAGGGAUCGGAUGAUGUUAAUUUUUANGUACUUCAUUCGGCNCCGUU
rnacentral:rRNA from 1 species